UAAAAACACUGUAUUUUUUUGUGC
rnacentral:siRNA from 1 species